GCCCUGGUGGUGGAAUUGGUAGACACAAGGGAUUUAAAAUCCCUCGGCGUUCGCGCUGUGCCGGUUCAAGUCCGGCCCGGGCACCA
rnacentral:tRNA from 1 species